rnacentral:rRNA from 1 species
GCAUACGUCCUACGGGAGAAAGCAGGGGAUCUUCGGACCUUGCGCUAAUAGAUGAGCCUAAGUCGGAUUASCUAGUUGGUGGGGUAAAGGCCUACCAAGGCGACGAUCUGUAGCGGGUCUGAGAGGAUGAUCCGCCACACUGGGACUGAGACACGGCCCAGACUCCUACGGGAGGCAGCAGUGGGGAAUAUUGGACAAUGGGGGGAACCCUGAUCCAGCCAUGCCGCGUGUGUGAAGAAGGCCUUAUGGUUGUAAAGCACUUUAAGCGAGGAGGAGGCUACUGAGACUAAUACUCUUGGAUAGUGGACGUUACUCGCAKAAUAAGCACCGGCUAACUCUGUGCCAGCAGCCGCGGUAAUACAGAGGGUGCGAGCGUUAAUCGGAUUUACUGGGCGUAAAGCGUGCGUAGGCGGCUUUUUAAGUCGGAUGUGAAAUCCCCGAGCUUAACUUGGGAAUUGCAUUCGAUACUGGGAAGCUAGAGUAUGGGAGAGGAUGGUAGAAUUCCAGGUGUAKCGGUGAAAUGCGUAGAGAUCUGGAGGAAUACCGAUGGCGAAGGCAGCCAUCUGGCCUAAUACUGACGCUGAGGUACGAGAGCAUGGGGAGCAAACAGGAUUAGAUACCCUGGUAGUCCAUGCCGUAAACGAUGUCUACUASCCGUUGGGGCCUUUGA